rnacentral:rRNA from 1 species
UGCAAGUCGAACGUGAGCCAUCCUUCGGGGUGGUGGAAAGUGGCGCACGGGUGAGUAACGCGUGGGAACAUACCCAGCUGUACGGAAUAACCAUGGGAAACUAUGGCUAAUACCGUAUACACCCCUCCGGGGGGAAAGAUUUAUCGCAGUUGGAGUGGCCCGCGUAGGAUUAGGUAGUUGGUGGGGUAAAGGCCUACCAAGCCGACGAUCCUUAGCUGGUUUGAGAGGAUGAUCAGCCACACUGGGACUGAGACACGGCCCAGACUCCUACGGGAGGCAGCAGUGGGGAAUAUUGGACAAUGGGCGAAAGCCUGAUCCAGCAAUGCCGCGUGAGUGAAGAAGGCCUUAGGGUUGUAAAGCUCUUUCACCGGGGAAGAUUAUGACGGUACCCGGAGAAGAAGCCCCGGCUAACUCCGUGCCAGCAGCCGCGGUAAUACGGAGGGGGCUAGCGUUGUUCGGAAUUACUGGGCGUAAAGCGCGCGUAGGCGGCCUGUCAAGUUGGGUGUGAAAGCCCGGGGCUCAACCCCGGAAUUGCAUUCAAAACUGACAAGCUAGAGACCGAGAGAGGUGAGUGGAAUUUCCAGUGUAGAGGUGAAAUUCGUAGAUAUUGGAAAGAACACCAGUGGCGAAGGCAGCUCACUGGCUCGGUACUGACGCUGAGGUGCGAAAGCGUGGGUAGCAAACAGGAUUAGAUACCCUGGUAGUCCACGCCGUAAACGAUGAGUGCUAGACGUCGGGAGGCAUGCCUUUCGGUGUCGCAGCUAACGCAUUAAGCACU